rnacentral:rRNA from 1 species
UACGUAGGGUCCAAGCGUUAAUCGGAAUUACUGGGCGUAAAGCGUGCGCAGGCGGUUUGCUAAGACAGGUGUGAAAUCCCCGGGCUUAACCUGGGAACUGCGCUUGUAACUGGCAAGCUAGAGUGUGGCAGAGGGGGGUGGAAUUCCACGUGUAGCAGUGAAAUGCGUAGAGAUGUGGAGGAACACCGAUGGCGAAGGCAGCCCCCUGGGCUAACACUGACGCUCAUGCACGAAAGCGUGGGGAGCAAACAGG